GAUGAACGCUGGCGGCGUGCCUAAUACAUGCAAGUCGAGCGAACGGACGAGAAGCUUGCUUCUCUGAUGUUAGCGGCGGACGGGUGAGUAACACGUGGAUAACCUACCUAUAAGACUGGGAUAACUUCGGGAAACCGGAGCUAAUACCGGAUAAUAUUUUGAACCGCAUGGUUCAAAAGUGAAAGACGGUCUUGCUGUCACUUAUAGAUGGAUCCGCGCUGCAUUAGUUAGUUGGUAAGGUAACGGCUUACCAAGGCAACGAUGCAUAGCCGACCUGAGAGGGUGAUCGGCCACCCUGGAACUGAGACACGGUCCAGACUCCUACGGGAGGCAGCAGUAGGGAAUCUUCCGCAAUGGGCGAAAGCCUGACGGAGCAACGCCGCGUGAGUGAUGAAGGUCUUCGGAUCGUAAAACUCUGUUAUUAGGGAAGAACAUAUGUGUAAGUAACUGUGCACAUCUUGACGGUACCUAAUCAGAAAGCCACGGCUAACUACGUG
rnacentral:rRNA from 1 species